GAUGAAUUAAGAGUCCUUUAUUUAGCCGGUGGCCAAAGAGACCGCUAACGCUCAAAAUUCUCUCGGCCAUGAGGAGGGGGCUUGAUUUUCUUUUAUACUUUGGUUUAGGAAGGGGAGGGGAGCUCAAACGCAACAAUUCUACAGAAGUAAAAACAUGCAAAAAUUAAAAGGACAAAUGAUUACAGAGAAACAGACAAUUUAAAAGACAAAUGUUUACAGAAAAGCAACGGUAGCAGGUGCGGGGGCUCUAAAUCCUUCAUAAGAUGUUAGAUAUGGGUGCUAUGCCGGACACAGACUCAAGGCUUUGUGGUGUUAUCUUUUGAGCAAAAUCCUGGGAACUUCGUACAUUGUUUGUUUCAGUACCUUAUCAGUUAAUUGGACUCUUUUGAUAUGUUGAGAAUCUGUUUACACAAGUUAACUCCUUGAAGAAGGGGGUGGGUAAGGAGUCCUUAAUGUCUUACAAAUCAAGGGGGCCAGAUGGAGUUCGUCCGGCUUUCUCAGCUAAGCGAGAGUUUUAGUCAUGUGGAAACAAGGCUAGGUGAUUAAGAGAGCAAAAGGGAGAGUCUAAAAACAGGGUUAGUAAAAACAAUGUUGGGCAUUACAUUCACCACCCAUGUUUUCGGGGAAUCAAAUUGUUGAUUCCUCAGUUAUUAACAAGGGUGUCAUAUUGAGUCUUAAGAUACGUAAGUUUGACAGAAGCUAUGCGUUGUUUUAUAAAAUUAAGAAACGAAUUUAAUAUACAAGGCCCAAAAAUUAAACUUAAUAGUAGGAUGAGGAGAGGUCCAGCUAACCCAGUGAUUAAAGUAGUUAGCCAUGGGUUCCAGUUAAACAUGCUUUGAUACCAGGGGAUGUUAUUUUCUCGUUCUUGUUGGUGCCUAUCUAGAUUUUCUCGAACUUUUUUUACUGUACCUUUUAUGACUCCAGAUUGAUUGGCAUAGAAGCAACAACUUUCUCCUAGAGCUGCACAUAAACCUCCUUGAGAGAGGAAUAGCAGAUCUAAGCAUCGGCAGUUUUGAAGAACUACUUCAGCCAGAGACUCUACCUGGGAAUGUAGUAUAUCUAUGGCAGACUGGAGGUUACUAAAAUCAGCAUCCACCUGUUGAGACAGGGAUAUUAGUCCAGUUUCUCCUUGAACCAGGGCAGCCGUACCAAUGGCUGCUGAUCCAGCUAUGCUAAGACCAGCCAAUAGGGGAACCAGAAGUGGGACAGCUUGGUGCAACCUGGGAUGUAACUCAGGGGGAGCGAUGAGUUGUCGUCCUUCUGGUCCACUGUACACAUAUACCUGGGGAAGUACAUGAACUAACACGCACAGGAGAGGUCCUGGUUCAGUUCCAUUAAUGCAGCGAGUGAGACCUGAGGUGCAGGCCAACCAGGUAUUGUUGGGUGCUUGGUAAGAGACUGAGGUGCUUAUGGAAGUAAGCAGGGACUGAUUACAAGUAGCCUGAAAAGGAGAAGCAGAUAAGUUAUACCCGGUACUAAUCAGACAGGAAGCAUUUCCAGACACAUCUCCUAUUGUGAGAGCACGGGGUCGUGUAUGACAAGAUAGAGGGCCACGUUUAAGUGUGGCUUCUACUCCUAAUCCUACAUAAUAAGGGGGUUUUGCUUUUAAACAUAGCCAACAAUCUUGGGCUAGUUUAGGCUGGGUGAGGUUAAGGAGAUGGUGUACUCCACCUAGUAUAGACAUUAGGCUGGGUUGAAGAUGUUGUUGUUGUAGCUGGGGUCUAGGAACUAAGAAUGGCAGAGGAACAGUUAAAUCAACUUUGUCAGGGUGUUUCUGGAAUAUAGGGUCACCUAGAUCAGUUAAAGGCCCGAUUGGCUUGGGGGAGCUCCAUGAGACCAAGAUUUUCUUUUGGAUGGUGAACAUAGUCCCAACAUCAAAUCCUGGGAUAUAAAGUCUUAAUCCCCAUGACAUGCCAUAAUACCAUUGAGCUGCAUUAGGGUCAUGGACAGUUAUAGUAAGAGGAUUACAAUUUUUUCUAGUACAUAAUUUAGGAUGAGGAACACGACUUAUGGAAAGAGUUGAAGAUCUAGUUGAUCCCCCAGAGUAGGUGGCUAAAGUUACACAUGUCCAAUCAGGGCAGAAAAACUGGUAAGUAUCUCUACAGCUAGCGUCAGGGUGAUUUCCAGGACAGAGGUAAAAGUCAACAUUUUGGAGCCCUUUUUCUGCACCUUUGGAGCUUCCACAUCCAGUUUGGCUCCCAGAGUGUCCAAAUCCUGCUGCAAGGUCGACACUUCCUGCUCCUAUGACCGGCAAAUUAUGUUGCUCUUCAUGGGUACGAGCUGGCUCUGGGAACAGUACACAUAAAUCAACUGCAAAGGAGACUUCCUUGGAGGUACCGGCCCUCCAAGUAGUGUUUGCGAAUACACGUCCUGUUGUGAAAGAGGUGAGGAGAAAGGAGUAGGAAGGCUCAGAGGACAUAACAGGCAAAAAGAAACAAGAGAGGUCUCCUGGCUGGAACGAAUGGCAGGGCCCCGUCUGGUCAGGAACUGGAUUGGAAUGAGCUCCUCAAACAAGUGGCAAGAUGAUAUCUUGUACCUGUUGGAGAGAUU
rnacentral:lncRNA from 10 species